rnacentral:lncRNA from 1 species
AUGUUGGCCGAGUAUUACUGGAUUUUCAUUAGUACUCCCAAACUGCUUUCUAUAAUAGAAAUGCUUGAAUUUGGUCAUAUAAUGUCACAUGUUUUUUCCAUCAGCAGAUGCGAGAUGAAAUGCGCAAAUCUUUGGCAACUCCAGAAUGUUCUCCACAAAAAAAAAAAAAAAAAAAAAGAUGGAUAUUUAAGCCGCCAAACCAUUUUCUUUGCAGAGAUCUUCACUUCACAAAACCCAGAAACGCACAAUUCUGUGAACCCCACUUUGCCAUUGAGCUCAGCUUCCAACAGUGUGGUGGCACAGAGGAGCACUAUGGGGCCAACAGACACCACGGGGCCAACAGACAACAUGAGGCCAGCAGAUACCAUGAGGCCAACAGACACCAUGGGGCCAACAGACACCAUGGGGCCUAUCUACGCCACAGGGCCAAUGUACACCAUGGGGCUGACACACACCAUGGGCACCAGCACUGAGGGCACCAGCACAGAGGGCACCAGCCCCCACCCGCCACUUCUCCCCCCUGGCACCUUUGUGACCUCCCGCAGUGACACCUACAGUGAGAGCUCAUUGGGUGAAUCCUCUCUGCUCCCCGUUGUGAUACCAUCUCUGGUUUUGCUGAUUUUCGUCAUUGCCACAGUUCUUGUCCUUACCAAAAUAAAGCUUCAGAAGGAGAUGGGAGAGGAAGGAAGCACCUUGGGACAGACAGAAGCCGUGCUGGUGCAGAGUGGACUGAGCCCCACAGACGGGCAAGGGAUGGAGGAACUCAGCAGCCUACACAACGCCAACGGAUGCAAGGCAGAGUUGGGCAGAUGUCGGUGGGUAUUUUCUUGCAACUGUGCUGCAAAUGCCAGCUGCCUUAGUAGGAGAGUCCCCAAACAAAUUUUAAUAAAGUGGUCUGCUGCUUAG